rnacentral:tRNA from 1 species
GGUCUGGUGGUGUAGCGGUUCAACAUGCUUGCCUGUCACGCAGGAGAUCGCGGGUUCAAAUCCCGUCCAGACCGCCA